rnacentral:lncRNA from 1 species
AUACAUGCAUGUACUGUAGCCGUCCCCUGUUUGUAAAAAUACAUAUCAGUAAUCCCAAAAAAAAAAAAUUCUAAAAGUAAGAAAAUCUCUUAACAUUAUUAUUUCAGAACUAUCACUUCUACAUCAUAUUGAUCAAGUAAAAUGUAUGUGUAGGCAGAAAAGUAGACAAUGAAAGGCAUCUAUUUGGCGCACGAAGAUUUUGUCCACUUCAACUGUCAGGUUCUUCUUCACGAGAUCCCUGUGAGUUUUUCUUCAUUUUAGCAAUUUUUUUUCUCAAAUUUUUACCAGUUUUAUUUAUUUACCUUCAUUUUUUCACUGGGUUUUUUAUUUUUUGAGUUCUAGUUUAUCAAGUAAUCGUGUUUAUUCGUUCAUUGUAAUAUGUUAGGGGUUCGUAUGGAUUUUGCAAAAUAUUGAUGCGAACAUAAGGUUUUCAAAAUUCUACGUUUGAUGGUGGUCUUGACUUGUUAGUUGACUACUUUACUGGGUAUGCAUUUGUUUAAGCUUUAGUUUAUAUCUUAUUGCAGUUGAUUGUUAUUUGGAGGGUUUGUUUUGGUUAACUGUUAUAUAUGUCUAAUUCUUUUCAAUGUUUAAACCUCAAUUUUCAGAAAUUUUGAUGUGGUUGUUUGAUUAUGGGUUUUCCUUGUUAGUUUACUAUUGUUUCCUGCUGAUUCUUUUGUUCAUUUAUGAUGUCUUGUUCUUGACCAUGGUGGUUUUUGUGUUUUUAACUGUAUCUUUUUUCGUUGUUUAAUGCAUGGGGCUUCUAUAUUUGGAUAAUAAUAAGAGUAUUGGUGUUGAUACAUUUAAUUAAUUUGUUCUAUGUUGUUGUUUUACGCCUUAACUUCGAAAAGUUGCUAAGUUUGUAUACAAAUAGUUGGCUUAUGUGUUUGCUUAUUGUAAUUAUAAUUCAGCUUCAAUGAACUAUGUCUUCUCAUAUGAUAGGUGAGGGGUUGAUGAAGGUACAUUUGAGCUUGUCAAGUCAGCUUGCCAUCAUGACUUUGUAAUUUUCAGUCCUGGUAUGUUUGCACUCUGCUUGAAGAUGAGAUUUCUUGGAUUUUGAUUCACUUUAUUAACUUAAUUAGUUGACUGUGUGGGAACUUAAUGUGGCAGGCUGACAAAAUUUCUUUUGGUGUCGAUUUACCCUAGGUUCCAUUUCUUAUUGCUUUUAGAAUGUAUAACAUUGCAAUGAUGUUAUAUCUUGUAGCAUAGCUUCUGGGCAGAGGCAGACUAUUGUUUGCAGUGAUCAAACUUGAAUUGUAAUGUUCUUUAAGUUUUUGAUGUGUUUUAAUUUUAAUGGAUUUGUGGUCAAGAUUGAAUUUUGUGAUAACUUUGUAUCUCAACUGAUUUAUAGAUUUUUGCUUGGUUGAUGUCAUUUCUUGACAUACAAAGAAGGUGCCUUAAACCUUGAGGGGGAGACUAUAUCAUAUUUUAGCACUGGCCUCAAAUCAAUUUUUCCUUGUAGUGGCCUUUGUAUCAAAUCAUGAUGAGCCUGUCUGCCUUAUUUCGGAACUUCAAUUCUUCUUUCCCUCUCACAUUGGCACAAAGUAGUGGUGAUAUUAUGAUUUCAGUCCAAAAGUGGUUCCUUCACUUAUUUGUCUCCUGGAACGGCUGGGACGAGAUCAGUCCACUCCAAGUAGAUCAUUAGCUUCUGCAUCUUAUUGGCACAUAAAGUCCAGUAGUAGCUGUAGCGAUGAUUCAAAAAUUUCAUAACUUAUACAACAGACCAAAAUUUAAAAGAUUAGAAACUCAGAACCCAUUUAUCUCAUUGUUUAGAAGGUUUCAUUUGGAUUUUAGAGCCUAAUUUCAAAACCCAUCGUCAACUUCAGGACCAAAAACUGUCCAACACAAUGUGGCAAUUUUUGGGGUUUGGAUGACAAACUCCCAAAUUGAGUACCCCCAUUUAAAGCAGCUAUUAAACUGAAAAAAUCAAUAUCUUCAUUUGGGAUUGUUAAAUACAUGGUGGCAUAUGCCAAUAGCCAUGCGUUUAGUUAUGUGCCUCAAGU